CGGGUGAGUUACACGUAGGUGACCUAUCUCGCAGUGGGGGAUAACAGGGAGAAGUUCCUGCUAAUACCGCGUACGCUGGGCAAUUUUGGAUAAUGCCCAGGAAAGAUGGCCUCUAUACUAUGCUAUCACUGUGAGAAGGGCCUGCGGGCCAUUAGCUUGUUGGUGGGGUAAAGGCCUACCAAGGCGAUGAUGGCAAGCCGGUCUGAGAGGACGAUCGGCCACACUGGAACUGAGACACGGUCCAGACUCC
rnacentral:rRNA from 1 species